GAAAUGGCUCUUUUCAGAGCCCAAAAUUAAUUUUUGAAGAGUUUA
rfam:Lutzomyia longipalpis Contig11729, whole genome shotgun sequence.